CGGCCCCAGCUCAGGAGAGGGGCCCGGGAGAGGCCCGCCCCGAGGCUGACUGCGGGACCCUUGCACAAAAAUAUGUCUCUGUCCCCAACUGUCCCGGCCCUCGCCGCUUCCUUCAGAGCUCCAGUUCCUAGUCCCCUCGGCCACCUCCGGUUUGACCCCCGUCCUGGGAAGAGCAGUAUUGGGUCUCAGUGACAAGACAGUGACCAAGCCGUGACUAUCCCAGCGGUUGGGAGACAGAGCUGUCAUGUGCAUGCUCCAGGGAGGCAGUGACAUGAGCUUCAGCCGGCUCCAGGAGGAGGUGACAGAGGGCAAGAAGGAGGAAGUCCCUGAAACAUUGGCAUGUUUCCACACAAGACGGUGCUGGUGGAUGUGCUUGGCACUCUGCAGAAGCCUGGUAAAAAGAGACUUUUCCUUUUCCCUCCUGUUUUCUUUUCUUCUGAUAUUGCUACUGACACCCUUCCUGCAAGGGGAGUUCCCUACCCCAUGCCAUUGUCAUCCCGGUGCACAGGACAUCAUUCUGGGCUUCUUUCCAUGGAAUCCCUCCCAGGCUGUACCUCACUCUGUAGACUGAGAGAAGUUUUGAGCCCAGGGAGAUGCAGCAGCUAGUCAGCUGCUCGUGUUUACCAACCAGGAAAUCGUGACUGAGAAAGUGGUGCAGAGCUCCCCAAAGUCAGUCCGGUUUUCUCCACUGAGCUGAAGCCUCUGUCAAAGCAUUGAACUCUGGUUACUGGCUCUCUGCUUUUACCAAUUCUCUACUUGGGAUUGAAUUUUCUUCCAAGACUUUAGGAAUAAGUGAGAUAAAUUUUAAUAAAUUAAACGUAAAUAUGUGGCUAGUCAUUUGACACUCACAGUUUAAAACAGGAGAGGUGUACUUUGUCUCCUGGUUGGCCAGCUCCAAGGCAAGGUGGCAGGGCAGAGGGGCCUGGCAGAGGGGCGCUACUUACAUCAUGGCGGACAGGAAGCAGAGAGAAGGGAGGAGGGAGAGGAACCUCCCGGGUGCACCCCCAGGGGCCCUGAAACAGCAGCAGUCAGCUGUAGCCCCCAUGAUGCAGACACCUGAGGCUUUGAAGAAAUGCCCCAGAUCUAAACCCUAACAAUUGUAACAUUGUACUAGAUGGGAGAAGUUAUCAGAUCUCUUCGGAAUCUUUACUUUGACUGCAUGAAUUGGUCACCCUUUUCCAUUGAGCUUGGAAGCAACAGCAACAAACUCCUUAAAGAGCAGAAGGUUGCAACAGAUACUGGGAAGCUGAGCCCAAAGUCUCCAGAGCGAUGAAGUUAUGCCUUAGAAACACCCCU
rnacentral:lncRNA from 1 species